UACCCAUGCAGAAUUUAAAUAUCUCAGAACAAGAUUUAAACUGUUUUCAUUAAAAGUUCACACAUUUAAAAUAGUUUUAUUCAUUUUAUUUGUAUAUGUCAAAAUACAUUUUUAUUUCCAAAAUAGUGGGUUUUGCAACUAGUUUCAUGCAGAAAUAAGGUCUGCUCAGUCCUACCAAUAAAGUCAAUAUAGCACAGUAGCUGUUCAACUUUAGAUACAAAGAAUAAAUAACCUAAAUACAAAACACUAAAAUAUUAGAAACACGCAUUUACUCAUUCUUCUCAGGCAUCCAGACUUCACAGAUACAAACCACAGCAUGCCUAACUGUUGUGCACCCAGAACACGCUGCAGUCACUCACACUGAUCAACUAGCCGCAUAGUUUACCUCCUCACUAGACCGUGAAAUACUCUGUUUUCAGACCCACCAUUCAUACAGUUCAAAUAUAACCAAAAUUAAAUUCUACUUACCAAAACACCCUUUCCCAUCCCCGAAGUAAUCUAAAAUAGGCAGUAGAACACAAUGACCUUUUAAAAUGGAAGGGUACAAAUUCACAUUUAAUAUAGUAUACAAUACACUCAAUAAUACAGUCAGCUACUAUACGCUUUAAAUGUACAAUUUAUUCGAAUGGCUGAACUGUUCAAUGGUUAAGGAGACAGUUAUGUGCCAGGAAGAUGUAAUAUAUAUAUAUUUUUUGCAUGGUUUGAUGAAAAUAUAAAAGUUAUUUGUCCAAAUAAAAGCCACUUUCAUUAUGGACUUCAUUUUGCUUAGUUUUUUCCUUAAAAAAAGGCCACUGAAAUGUAUAAAAACGGUCUGAACAUGGUGGUGGGAUCAGAGUUGAUGCCCCCUCACAUGGCAAUAACAGUGCACUUAACACCACUCACAGAUUUAAGUCUGCAAAGGAUCUCCUAGCACUACUGUGGCUAGCACAACAGUUUCAGACAGCACUCAGAUAAAUAUAGGCGUGUGAAAUGUGAAGCGAUUCUCUACUUUGUAAUCAGGUCUGACUACUACCGAAUGAAAAAAAAAGCAAAGCAGUUUACAGUAGAAAAGCUUGGAAGGGGAGGUCCCAUAAACCGCAGAAUCUUUCAGGUCCUCCUGCCCACUGUGAGCGAGCUCUGCUCUAAAGACCUUUAUGGAGUAGCCCACUGUGCACUGCAGACAUCUGAAUUAAGAAAAUAGUCAAGCAUGCCAUGUGGUGGUCUAAAAAUCAAAACAAUACACUUAUUUAUAUAUACAGCGUCACUCAGUACCUGCUAAAAUGAAUGUGAAAAGUACAGCAUCUAGCAUCUUAUACUACAAUAAAAAACAAAAAGUGACAGAUGAGGGCAGAAGAUAGGACUGGAAAGAUCAAAUUUCAAUGGACGUUAAAGCACUCAUGUAAGAAAUAAAUGCGUAUUGCACAAACAGUGACAGCAAGUGUCCCACCA
rnacentral:lncRNA from 1 species